GGGAACAUACCCUUUUCUACGGAAUAGCUCUGGGAAACUGGAAUUAAUACCGUAUACGCCCUACGGGGGAAAGAUUUAUCGGGGAAGGAUUGGCCCGCGUUGGAUUAGCUAGUUGGUGGGGUAAAGGCCUACCAAGGCGACGAUCCAUAGCUGGUCUGAGAGGAUGAUCAGCCACAUUGGGACUGAGACACGGCCCAAACUCCUACGGGAGGCAGCAGUGGGGAAUAUUGGACAAUGGGCGCAAGCCUGAUCCAGCCAUGCCGCGUGCGUGAUGAAGGCCUUAGGGUUGUAAAGCUCUUUCACCGAUGAAGAUAAUGACGGUAGUCGGAGAAGAAGCCCCGGCUAACUUCGUGCCAGCAGCCGCGGUAAUACGAAGGGGGCUAGCGUUGUUCGGAAUUACUGGGCGUAAAGCGCACGUAGGCGGAUAUUUAAGUCAGGGGUGAAAUCCCAGAGCUCAACUCUGGAACUGCCUUUGAUACUGGGUAUCUUGAGUAUGGAAGAGGUAAGUGGAAUUGCGAGU
rnacentral:rRNA from 1 species